rnacentral:rRNA from 1 species
AACGCGAAGAACCUUACCUGGGCUCGAACGGCUUCAGACAGUCGUGGAAACACGAUCUUCCCCUUAAAAGGACUGGAGUCGAGGUGCUGCAUGGCUGUCGUCAGCUCGUGUCGUGAGAUGUUGGGUUAAGUCCCGCAACGAGCGCAACCCUUAUCCCUAGUUGCCAUCGGGUCAAGCCGGGCACUCUAGUGAAACCGCCCAGGAUAACUGGGAGGAAGGUGGGGAUGACGUCAAGUCCUCAUGGCCUUUAUGUCCAGGGCUACACACGUGCUACAAUGGUCGGUACAAACCGUCGCAAACUCGCGAGAGGGAGCUAAUCGGAAAAAGCCGGCCUCAGUUCGGAUUGGAGUCUGCAACCCGACUCCAUGAAGCUGGAAUCGCUAGUAAUCGCGGAUCAGAACGCCGCGGUGAAUACGUUCCCGGGCCUUGUACACACCGGCUAC